rnacentral:lncRNA from 1 species
ACCAAAUGGGGACCUCUCUCGGAUUCACUAUCUAGAACAAGAAAGAAGAGGAUACGAGGUGUUAAUACACCAAAACAGCCAGCCAACAACAAGUUUAGCAGCACAAGAUGAAGCUCCACAAUAUUACAAUAGCAACAAGAACAAACGGGUUACAUUAACAACACAAGAAGCCGAAACUAAAACAAGAUACAAGAUAGGUAGUUAGACAAGUGUUGAUGUAGUCUUAACAACCCAAGAGCAUAUUUCACUCUUGGACCUUUAAAACUUCACACAACAAACACCUAACUCUUACAAUUGACAUAAGAAAGGUGUCCACCACCCAAGCACCAACGUAUCAAGCAAAAAGCAACACACAAGAGAAUCCACCCUUAUAUUAUGUCCUAGUUUCAAUUGGACUCUCUCUCACUCUAUGAGAAGUAUUCUUCAAUAAUAAUGAUCAACUAAAGAAAUAAACCCUACAAUGUUCUAUUUAUACUACAUUACAAUAAUAGAAAAAAUGUCAAAAGGGUCCUUUAGUGACUAGUCUUCAAAAAAACUCAAAAGUGUCAUGAUCAUGAUCAUACUUGUAUCAUCCUCUCCAUCUUGAGAGGAAUUUUCCCACAAAUUCAUAACCUCACCCCUUUUACAAAGGCACUUCACAAUCUCCUUCACACGGCCACACAUCUUCUACAUCUUCCUCGCCUUGCAUUUUAACCUCUUUUUGCUCUCCAUCUUGAGGCUUGCCAUCAACCUUAGCCGAUUCAAUUACUACUUCUUCGCCAAGAUAGUACAAUUUUCCCUCCCUUAGGAUCACGUUCCUCCGAUUUGGGCACUCACUAGCCUUGUGCCCCCUCCCUUGGCAUUUGAAGCAUUGAAAUCCCUUGGGAUUGGAAGUAGAAUUCAAUUUACCUUCAUACCUUGGAGGAUGUUUUUGGAAAACCUUGGUGGCCUCAGGUUGGGUAGCCAUGAAUGGGUUAUCUUUGAGCUCCCUCUCAACCUCUAAAACUGCAUGGAAGAUGCCAUCUAUGGUGUCGAAUUUGUGUAGCGUCAUGCGAGUGGAGAUGUCCUUGUUUAACCCAACCUUGAAGCCCACAAUGUCAUGACUUACUUGCUCGCCUUGGUGGUCAAGUUUCAAUAUCAAUUGUUGAAAUUCAUCAUAGUAAGCCAUGACACUCUUUUUCCCUGGCCUCAAAUUGUACAAUUUAGCAAGGAGCUUAUGCCUAUAAGUCUCAGGCAAGUACCUUUGUCACAUAAGGUUCUUCAACCAAAAUCAAGGAGGAGGUUGUCCCUUAAUCAUCCCAUUCCCAAACCAUUUAACAUACUCCCACCAUGUAUUAGCAUACCCUUCGAAGUGAGUUAUAGCAUAACAACUUUUUUUUUCUUCGGUGAGAUCAUUAAGUUGGAAGAUUUUGUCACAAGAUCACUCUCAUGCAAGGUAGGCUUCAGGAUCACUCUCACCUUUGAAAACGGGAAGGCUGACUUUGAUGGAAUUGAGACCUACAUCUCGAUUUGGGUGGCCAUCUCUCACCGCUCGACCUAACUCCCCAUGUCUACGCCUCAUUCUUUCUUUCCUCAAGUAAACAUCAUUAUACUGCCCAUAACCAUCAUAUUGUCCUUCCCUAACAUAGCCCUCAACAUGGAUGGGUCUAUUUGGGUUAAAUGGAGCUUGUAGAGGCGGGAUUGGAUUUGGAUUGUGAGGUCUUUGGUCAAGUGGAGUUUGGAUAGAAGGGUUCGGGUUUGGUGAUGGUGAUGGUAUUUGGGUUCCAAGCCCUUCUUGUUGGAAUUGGUGGAGUGGAGGAUGGCUUGGUCUAUUUUGUUCUCGGCUUCGGGAGUAAAGAUUGGUUUGAUUUAUGGCAAUUGGUGUAUAUUGCAUUUAGUGCAAGGUCUCGGGAGUAUUAGUUGGGGAAAUGUUUUGAGAGGUAGAAGGUCGACUCCUUUGGCUUUCCACAUGUUCUAAUCUCCCACUCAUUGAUGCCACAUCCGUAUCUAAUUUCUCAAGAACCACAUUUAACCUAGCCACAUCUUGGGACAUAGUUUCAAGGCGAGCCAAAAUGAGAUUGAUGGCAUUAUUAUCCAUUGUUUGAGGAUUUGAAGCCUCGGGUUCCAUUGUGGUGGUAUCGAAAAUAACCCUUCAAGUUGCGGUCCAAUCAAGAUACCAAAUCAGUCCUCAAUGUCACACACAAUAAUACAAUGCAAAACCUACAACACAAAACACACGUUAUUUCAAAACAACCUCCCACAAUGACAUCCCACCUUCAAGUUUCUUCAAACUCAAGCUCAACAUUGGUGAAUGGCUCAAACAACCUCAAAUUUAGCUCAAAUUCGAACCCUAUACUCCUAUAGUGUUAGAGAACACAAAUCUAACACUAAAAACACAAGAAAAAUGCAAAAUCAAAAACUCAAAAUUUGACCUAAGGUCAAAAACGGGUUUAGUAUAUUUUUGGGGGAUUUUCGAUUUUGACACUUUUUUUAUUGGGAUUUUCAAUUUCUAUACUCUAAUAGUGUUAGGGAACAAGAUCUAACACUAGAAACACAAAAAAAUCAAGUUUUUUUAAAGACCCUAAAAACGUGAACUGUAACUUUUUUUUUCAAGAUAACAAUCCCAAAAUUGAUUUUGUUGGAACAAAAUCAAACCUUGCUCUGAUACCAAAUGAUACGGAACAAACAAGGGAACACAAAAUCACACCCUAAAACAGUUCAUAAAUCACAAUAAAUCGUGGACCAAAUGGGGACCUCUCUCGGAUUCACUAUCUAGAACAAGAAAGAAGAGGAUACAAGGUGUUAAUACACCAAAACAGCCAGCCAACAACAAGUUUAGUAGAACAAGAUGAAGCUCCACAAUAUUACAAUAGCAACAAGAACAAACAGGUUACAUUAACAACACAAGAAGCCGAAACUAAAACAAGAUACAAGAUAGGUAGUUAGACAAGUGUUGAUGUAGUCUUAACAACCCAAGAGUAUAUUCCACUCUUGGACCUUUAAAAC